AAAAACGGGGCCCCGGAAAAGCCUGUUUAGGCUACCCAUUUAAGUGAGGAAAAGUUAUUUUUCUUUUCCUUUUUCUUUUUAUUUAUUUCCUUCCUCUCCCCGCUGAACCCGUGCGUGCCCUAACCCCCUUCGACACCAUUUCUCCUCCCUUUUCUCUCGCGAGUGUUUUCUCUUCUUCUCCACUCUCCCUCUACCGACUCUUCCUUUUCCCCCUUCUUCCCUACUCCUCUGCCCGUCGCCCUCGCUGUGGAGACUGCCACAGCCGACGCUCCCCUUUCCCCAAGUGUCGGCGACGAUCUGCCAUCGCUGACCUACAUCGCCAGUGACGCCAAGCACCCCUACACCGCACCGCUGCCGCACGGAGGUGUCGCCGGCAUUCCCCUGUGCCCUAGCACCAGCAGACGGCCGCUCUCUCUCUGCUGCGAUUUGGCAGCACCACUGACACCCGAUUUCAUCUUCCUCCUCAGCCCUAGUGUCGGCUGCUACCUCUUUUUCCCUAGCCGACGCCACCACUGAUUGCUGGAGGGGGGAAAGGUUAUCCGGACUUCAAGGUUUCUGCCGAGCCCUAGCUUGGUCUUCACUGUCGUGCCCUAGGUUUCCCCCUUUCAGGUGAGUGAGGUUUGGUAUCAACGGGAUUAAGUUGUUGUUGGAGCUGAGGAAUCUGAUCAUUAUUCAUACACUUAGGACUUUGACGCGAGACGGGUAUCUCGACGUCAUGUUUGGACCAAAUUGGACUUGUCGAUU